UACGAAGGGGCUAGCGUUGUUCGGAAUUACUGGGCGUAAAAGCGCGCGCAGGCGGCCAUUCAAGUCAGGGGUGAAAGCCCAGAGCUCAACUCUGGAACUGCCCUUGAAACUGUAUGGCUUGAGUAUGAGAGAGGUGAGUGGAAUUCCCAGUGUAGAGGUGAAAAUGCGUAGAUAUCGGAAAGGAACAUCAGUGGCGAAAGCGACU
rnacentral:rRNA from 1 species